rnacentral:rRNA from 1 species
UACGUAGGCAGCGAGCGUUGUUCGGAGUUACUGGGCGUAAAGGGUGUGUAGGCGGUUCUUUAAGUUUGGUGUGAAAUCUCCCGGCUCAACCGGGAGGGUGCGCCGAAUACUGGGGGACUAGAGUACGGGAGAGGAAAGUGGAAUUCCUGGUGUAGCGGUGAAAUGCGUAGAUAUCAGGAGGAACACCGGUGGUGUAGACGGCUUUCUGGACCGUAACUGACGCUGAGACACGAAAGCGUGGGUAGCAAACAGG